UUAACGUCAUGGAUAUUUCUAGGAAACCGAUUUGAUUAACUCAUUUUUAGGAAAAGUGAUUAAUUUUGGAAAAUACUUUCAUUGCGGAAGCUUUGCUUGUUGUCGUGUUAUUUUGAAAUCAAUUGUUGUUUUUUUUUGAAAACGCGCCCUAAAGCUGUCCAAUUUCAACAGUUAAAAUAAGCAAUACCUAUCUUAGUAAUACAUAUUAAAACCAUCAAAAAUAAUUAAGCGGCCUUAUUACAUUUAAAAACCCAAACCUCAACGUAAAUAAUAGGAUGUCCA
rnacentral:lncRNA from 1 species